rnacentral:rRNA from 1 species
CAAUAGCGUAUAUUAAAGUUGUUGCAGUUAAAAAGCUCGUAGUUGGAUUUCUGGUCUGAUGCCCUGGCCCGCGUCUUAUAGAUGUGUGUGCCGGCUGUGCGUCUGCCAUCCUUCUAGUAACCCUUCCUACCCUUCACUGGGCCGGGUUGGCGAUCUAGAUCUUUUACCUUGAGAAAAUUAGAGUGUUUCAGGCAGGCUUUCGCCGGAAUACAUUAGCAUGGAAUAAUGGAAAAGGACUUCAACCUCUUCUGUUGGUCUGAGAGGCUGUAGUAAUGAUUAAUAGGGAUAGUUGGGGGCAUUAGUACUUAACUGUCAGAGGUGAAAUUCUCCGAUUUGUUAAAGACUAACUUAUGCGAAAGCAUUUGCCAAGGAUGUUUUCAUUAAUCAAGAACGAAAGUUAGGGGAUCAAAGACGAUUAGAUACCGU